AAAGAGUAUAUUAAAUCUCUCAUCGUUUCUCAUGUAGUGUGCAAAGCAGGACCAGGGAACUUACUUAUGCGGCUACAACGUAUGCGAGUAUGCCCACUACCUAUCAAACCAAAUAUGCACCACACGAGAGCUUGAUGUAC
rnacentral:pre_miRNA from 1 species